rnacentral:rRNA from 1 species
GAGGAAACUCUGAUGCAGCGACGCCGCGUGAACGAUGAAGGCCUUCGGGUCGUAAAGUUCUGUCCUAGGGGACGAUAAUGACGGUACCCUAGGAGGAAGCCCCGGCUAACUACGUGCCAGCAGCCGCGGUAAUACGUAGGGGGCAAGCGUUGUCCGGAUUUAUUGGGCGUAAAGGGUGCGUAGGCGGCCUUUUAAGUCAGAUGUGAAAGGUCACGGCUCAACCGUGGUAAGCAUUUGAAACUGAAAGGCUUGAGUUAAGGAGAGGAAAGUGGAAUUCCUAGUGUAGCGGUGAAAUGCGUAGAUAUUAGGAGGAAUACCAGUGGCGAAGGCGACUUUCUGGACUUAUACUGACGCUGAUGCACGAAAGCGUGGGGAGCGAACAGGAUUAGAUACCCUGGUAGUCCACGCCGUAAACGAUGAGUGCUAGGUGUUGGGGGUCAAACCUCGGUGCCGCAGCUAACGCAUUAAGCACUCCGCCUGGGGAGU